rnacentral:rRNA from 1 species
GAAUAUUGCACAAUGGGCGAAAGCCUGAUGCAGCAACGCCGCGUGAGUGAUGAAGGCCUUCGGGUCGUAAAGCUCUUUGAUCAGGGAUGAUAAUGACAGUACCUGAAAAACAAGCCACGGCUAACUACGUGCCAGCAUCCGCGGUAAUACGUAGGUGGCGAGCGUUGUCCGGAAUUACUGGGCGUAAAGGAUGCGUAGGUGGAUAUUUAAGUGGGAUGUGAAAUCCCCGGGCUCAACCCGGGAACUGCAUUCCAAACUGGGUAUCUAGAGUGCAGGAGAGGAAAGCGGAAUUCCUAGUGUAGCGGUGAAAUGCGUAGAUAUUAGGAGGAACACCAGUGGCGAAGGCGGCUUUCUGGACUGUAACUGACACUGAGGCAUGAAAGCGUGGGUAGCAAACAGG